GGGUGAGGGGAGCUACCAUGCAAGUCGAGCGGUAGCACAGAGAAGCUUGCUUCUUGGGUGACGAGCGGCGGACGGGUGAGUAAUGCAUAGGAAUCUGCCCGAUAGUGGGGGAUAACCUGGGGAAACCCAGGCUAAUACCGCAUACGUCCUACGGGAGAAAGGGGGCUCCGGCUCCCGCUAUGGGAUGAGCCUAUGUCGGAUUAGCUAGUUGGUGAGGUAACGGCUCACCAAGGCAACGAUCCGUAGCUGGUCUGAGAGGAUGAUCAGCCACAUCGGGACUGAGACACGGCCCGAACUCCUACGGGAGGCAGCAGUGGGGAAUAUUGGACAAUGGGCGCAAGCCUGAUCCAGCCAUGCCGCGUGUGUGAAGAAGGCCCUCGGGUUGUAAAGCACUUUCAGCGAGGAAGAACGCCUAGCGGUUAAUACCCGCUAGGAAAGACAUCACUCGCAGAAGAAGCACCGGCUAACUCCGUGCCAGCAGCCGCGGUAAUACGGAGGGUGCAAGCGUUAAUCGGAAUUACUGGGCGUAAAGCGCGCGUAGGUGGCUUGAUAAGCCGGUUGUGAAAGCCCCGGGCUCAACCUGGGAACGGCAUCCGGAACUGUCAAGCUAGAGUGCAGGAGAGGAAGGUAGAAUUCCCGGUGUAGCGGUGAAAUGCGUAGAGAUCGGGAGGAAUACCAGUGGCGAAGGCGGCCUUCUGGACUGACACUGACACUGAGGUGCGAAAGCGUGGGUAGCAAACAGGAUUAGAUACCCUGGUAGUCCACGCCGUAAACGAUGUCGACCAGCCGUUGGGUGCCUAGCGCACUUUGUGGCGAAGUUAACGCGAUAAGUCGACCGCCUGGGGAGUACGGCCGCAAGGUUAAAACUCAAAUGAAUUGACGGGGGCCCGCACAAGCGGUGGAGCAUGUGGUUUAAUUCGAUGCAACGCGAAGAACCUUACCUACUCUUGACAUCCUGCGAAUUCGGUAGAGAUACCUUAGUGCCUUCGGGAACGCAGAGACAGGUGCUGCAUGGCUGUCGUCAGCUCGUGUUGUGAAAUGUUGGGUAAGUCCCGUACGAGCGCACCCUGUCUUAUUUGCAGCACGUAAUGGUGACUCUAGAGACUGCGUGACACCGGAGGAGGUGGGGACGACGUCAGUCAUCAUGUCCUACGAGUAGCUACCACGUGCUACAUUGUCAUACAAGGGUGCAACCUCGCG
rnacentral:rRNA from 1 species